rnacentral:rRNA from 1 species
UCUUCGGAGAAGAGCGGCGGACGGGUGAGUAACGCGUGGGUAACCUGCCUCAUACACAUGGAUAACAUACCGAAAGGUAUGCUAAUACAAGAUGAUAUAAGAGAUUCGCAUGGAUUUCUUAUCAAAGCUCCGGCGGUAUGAGAUGGACCCGCGUCUGAUUAGCUAGUUGGUAAGGUAACGGCUUACCAAGGCGACGAUCAGUAGCCGACCUGAGAGGGUGAUCGGCCACAUUGGAACUGAGACACGGUCCAAACUCCUACGGGAGGCAGCAGUGGGGAAUAUUGCACAAUGGGCGAAAGCCUGAUGCAGCAACGCCGCGUGAGUGAUGAAGGCCUUCGGGUCGUAAAACUCUGUCCUCAAGGAAGAUAAUGACGGUACUUGAGGAGGAAGCCCCGGCUAACUACGUGCCAGCAGCCGCGGUAAUACGUAGGGGGCUAGCGUUAUCCGGAUUUACUGGGCGUAAAGGGUGCGUAGGUGGUUUCUUAAGUCAGGAGUGAAAGGCUACGGCUCAACCGUAGUAAGCUCUUGAAACUGGGAAACUUGAGUGCAGGAGAGGAAAGUGGAAUUCCUAGUGUAGCGGUGAAAUGCGUAGAUAUUAGGAGGAACACCAGUAGCGAAGGCGGCUUUCUGGACUGU